UACGAAGGGGGCUAGCGUUACUCGGAUUGACUGGGCGUAAAGGGCGCGUAGGCGGUUUGUACAGUCAGACGUGAAAUUCCUGGGCUCAACCUGGGGGCUGCGUUUGAUACGUGCGGACUUGAGUUCGGAAGAGGGUCGUGGAAUUCCCAGUGUAGAGGUGAAAUUCGUAGAUAUUGGGAAGAACACCGGUGGCGAAGGCGGCGACCUGGGUAGAUACUGACGCUGAGGUGCGAAAGCGUGGGGAGCAAACAGG
rnacentral:rRNA from 1 species